rnacentral:rRNA from 1 species
UACGUAGGAGGCGAGCGUUGUCCGGAUUUACUGGGCGUAAAGCGUGCGCAGGCGGUCUGUUAAGACCGAUGUGAAAUCCCCGGGCUUAACCUGGGAACUGCAUUGGUGACUGGCAGGCUUUGAGUGUGGCAGAGGGAGGUAGAAUUCCACGUGUAGCAGUGAAAUGCGUAGAGAUGUGGAGGAAUACCGAUGGCGAAGGCAGCCUCCUGGGCCAACACUGACGCUCAUGCACGAAAGCGUGGGGAGCAAACAGG